UGUUUGAUUAAGCUCAUUAGUUUCACCUGUGGCCGGAAACUUUGGCGAAUACACGGAGGAAGACCCAUGUGCGGAAUAAUCAAGAUUUACCAACGAAACAACAAAAGGUACAAACAAAACUAGGAGAAAAGAACCCACAGAGAACCCAGGAGAAGGACGUACAGUGAUCCAACACACUGAGAGAAACCAGCAACAACAAUCUAAUGCCAGUGACAUCCGGUAAGGAGAGAAGCUGAAUGGAAGAGCGUCUUCAGGUUUAUUCGGCAUGAGUCGACCUGAAGUGAUGUCAGCUGAGCCCGACGCCAUGGACGCAACUUACAGACCUGGAGCCUUUACGGGAACAGACGUGGGAGCUCUUUCUCAGACACGAGGAAGGUACAGCAGCAGGAUCGGUGCAGACACGGUCCACUCUAAGUCUUCCGAGGGUGAUGGUGCUCAUGGGAAAUGCAGUCUUCAUCCCGGAGGAACACUACAAACUUCAUCCACAGGGGGCGCCAGAAUCAACAUAACACAGUGCCUUUAAGAGAACGCCGGCUCCUCCUGCCCCUGCUGCCCUCCACCUCCUCCCCCUCCCCCUCUUCAUUUCCUGCUCUCCAGCUUUUUUACCUCCUGCUCCAGAUUUAUGCAAGGCGGAACCGAGCGCUGUGAAGCUCUCACACACACAGCAGCCGAGGCAGACAUGCAAGAGACGACCGGGUCGCAUCGGCUCCUCCUCCUCCAGACUCUGCUAUCUGCACCGACCAGGAAGGAGCUGACACCGAUACCAUGACAUUCAGCUGCAAGUUCAGCACCUUUCCAAACCUUCACACAGCUCUCAGACCGCUACGAUCAGAGGAAUAUAUCAUGCAUACGGACUAAAAAGCGUAUCUGCACUUAUUUUAAAACACACAACAGUAGAGGAAGUGUGUAGCCACUCCUGUCCUUCAGAUCCACACAGCUAUCUGUGUUUGGUGCUACAUGGCUCUCAAGUACGCCGUAAAACCUUGACCAUGAUAACAACCUUAAGUAGAGCUUGUGCAACCAAGUACUGGCCCGCAAAGACACGAAAACUAGCCGUGGCUCAGAGAGGCUAAAUCAUCGUCAGACUGUGGUCGGGUUCCUAGAUGGAUGCGUUAUGAUGCGGCGGAAAAACUUAAGUGUUUUUUGUUUUAUUCCAAGCACAAAGUAUCUUAUUGGACUUCAAAUCAGCCAGGUUUACCUUAAAAGUCCAGAUCAACAUGUUUUUAUUGACAGGAAAGCUGCAGAGAUUUAAACUCCUGCUCUGUCCUCACAUCGGGGCUCACGUAGACCUCUUGUACACAUCU